GACGAACGCUGGCGGCGUGCUUAACACAUGCCAGUCGAACGGAAAGGCCCUGCUUUUGUGGGGUGCUCGAGUGGCGAACGGGUGAGUAACACGUGAGUAACCUGCCCUUGACUUUGGGAUAACUUCAGGAAACUGGGGCUAAUACCGGAUAGGAGCUCCUGCUGCAUGGUGGGGGUUGGAAAGUUUCGGCGGUUGGGGAUGGACUCGCGGCUUAUCAGCUUGUUGGUGGGGUAGUGGCUUACCAAGGCUUUGACGGGUAGCCGGCCUGAGAGGGUGACCGGCCACAUUGGGACUGAGAUACGGCCCAGACUCCUACGGGGGGCAGGAGGGGGGAAUAUUGCACAAUGGGCGGAAGCCUGAUGCAGCAACGCCGGGGGCGGGAGGACGGCCUUCGGGUUGUAAACCGCUUUCGCCUGUGACGAAGCGUGGGUGACGGUAAUGGGUAAAGAAGCACCGGCUAACUACGU
rnacentral:rRNA from 1 species